GGGUCCUCCGUGCUUGUGAGGAUCACACUUGGUUUCCACAUAGACAUAGACAGCAUUGUGGUUCAAGAUAUCUUCAACCACAAAUACUCUCAACAUCUUACACAACUUCAGGUUGACAUUCAAACUGUCACAGUUGAGCCAAUUGUUGACCAGAACCAACCAGCCUAGCCAUCGGCCUCCCUGAUGACAGCCGCUGCCUCUUGCCAGAUAAUUGGCCACUAGAGGGCGCAUCAUGGUGUUCAUCAACACAACUGAAUAAAUGUAAUAAUUGUUUGAA